UACAGAGGUGGCAAGCGUUGUUCGGAAUUACUGGGCGUAAAGGGCGCGUAGGCGGCCAUCUAAGUCAGACGUGAAAUCCCCCGGCUCAACCUGGGAACUGCGUCUGAUACUGGAAGGCUCGAGUUUGGGAGAGGGAUGUAGAAUUCCAGGUGUAGCGGUGAAAUGCGUAGAUAUGUGGAGGAACACCGAUGGCGAAGGCAGCCCCCUGGGUUAACACUGACGCUCAUGCACGAAAGCGUGGGGAGCAAACAGG
rnacentral:rRNA from 1 species